UACGUAGGUGACAAGCGUUGUCCGGAUUUACUGGGCGUAAAGAGCGCGCAGGCGGUCGAUCAAGUCGAGUGUGAAAGCCCCCGGCUCAACUGGGGAGGGUCAUUCGAUACUGUUCGACUCGAAGGCAGGAGAGGGAAGUGGAAUUCCGGGUGUAGUGGUGAAAUGCGUAGAUAUCCGGAGGAACACCAGUGGCGAAGGCGACUUUCUGGCCUGUUCUUGACGCUGAGGCGCGAAAACUAGGGGAGCAAACGGGG
rnacentral:rRNA from 1 species